rnacentral:rRNA from 1 species
CGAGACAGAUGCUAAUACCGGAUAACAACAGAUGAUGCCUAUCAACUGUUUAAAAGAUGGUUCUGCUAUCACUCUUGGAUGGACCUGCGGUGCAUUAGCUAGUUGGUAGGGUAACGGCCUACCAAGGCGAUGAUGCAUAGCCGAGUUGAGAGACUGAUCGGCCACAUUGGGACUGAGACACGGCCCAAACUCCUACGGGAGGCAGCAGCC